rnacentral:rRNA from 1 species
UACGAAGGGGGCUAGCGUUGCUCGGAAUCACUGGGCGUAAAGCGCACGUAGGCGGAUCUUUAAGUCAGGGGUGAAAUCCUGGAGCUCAACUCCAGAACUGCCUUUGAUACUGGGGAUCUCGAGUCCGGAAGAGGUGAGUGGAACUCCGAGUGUAGAGGUGAAAUUCGUAGAUAUUCGGAAGAACACCAGUGGCGAAGGCGGCUCACUGGUCCGGUACUGACGCUGAGGCACGAAAGCGUGGGGAGCAAACAGG